GGUUAAGCGACUAAGCGUACACGGUGGAUGCCCUGGCAGUCAGAGGCGAUGAAGGACGUGCUAAUCUGCGAUAAGCGUCGGUGAGGUGAUAUGAACCGUUAUAACCGGCGAUUUCCGAAUGGGGAAACCCAGUGUGUUUCGACACACUAUCAUUAACUGAAUCCAUAGGUUAAUGAGGCGAACCGGGGGAACUGAAACAUCUAAGUACCCCGAGGAAAAGAAAUCAACCGAGAUUCCCCCAGUAGCGGCGAGCGAACGGGGAGGAGCCCAGAGCCUGAAUCAGUGUGUGUGUUAGUGGAAGCGUCUGGAAAGGCGCGCGAUACAGGGUGACAGCCCCGUACACAAAAAUGCACAUAUUGUGAGCUCGAUGAGUAGGGCGGGACACGUGGUAUCCUGUCUGAAUAUGGGGGGACCAUCCUCCAAGGCUAAAUACUCCUGACUGACCGAUAGUGAACCAGUACCGUGAGG
rnacentral:rRNA from 1 species